UACGUAGGGGGCUAGCGUUGUCCGGAAUCAUUGGGCGUAAAGAGCGUGUAGGCGGUCCGGUAAGUCCGCUGUGAAAGUCGGGGGCUCAACCCUCGAAUGCCGGUGGAUACUGUCGGGCUAGAGUGCGGAAGGGGCGAGUGGAAUUCCUGGUGUAGCGGUGAAAUGCGUAGAUAUCCGAAGGAACAUCAGUGGCGAAAGCGGCUUCCUGGACCAGAACUGACGAUCAGGCUCGAAAGCGUGGGGAGCAAACAGG
rnacentral:rRNA from 1 species